rnacentral:tRNA from 1 species
GACAGUUUGGCCGAGUGGUCUAAGGCGCUAGAUUUAGGCUCUAGUCCGGAAGGGCGUGGGUUCAAAUCCCACAGCUGUCA